GCCGCCCGCCUCCAACCGCCUCUGCGCGCCUACCCCUUAACUUGCGUCCGGGUAACUGCCGCCGACAGCAAAACGUAGCUGGUGCCCGCUGCAGCGCCUAGCCAGACUGCAACGCCGCCUCCCCACUGCUAGAGCACCCUAGUAGCGUUGGGACUCGGGGCGCAGCCUGCAGGAGGCUCCCCACCGCUGCCUACGAGGCGGGAGUUAGGGAAUGGAGUAAAGAGGGAAGAAGGCGAGGCCUGGGGGAGGCCAGAGAAUCGCCGCAGACCACUAGUUCGGAGAUUGGAGUAAGAAAGGCAGAUUUCUGUCAGAGGCUCGGCCACGCCCCUUAUCCGCCAAGUACCUUGAUCAAAUUACCCAGCCCCUCUGCUUGUCAAAAUGGCCAUCUGUAAGAGAGGAAGAAUAAUAUCUUCUGCCCUGUGUUGCUGUGUUGGUUACAUGAGACACAAGACUUUCAACUCCUGUUCAAAGAGUGGAAAAGACUUGUGUCUCUUUCCUCCGUUCUUUACUUGCACGCACCCAUAGGUGAUUUCAAACCAGUAUAGACACUCUCUCCAGCCAGAAUGAACUCGCAGUGUCAUCGUAGUAAUAGUUUAAUAACAGUUUCCACUUAUUGAGCACCUUCUGUUUGCCAGAACUCUGUCUCUGACUGUGCCCUGUAUCAGAUAUGCGCCCCUAACCUAAAAACUACCUCUGGGUUGCUGAGCAAACUGACAAGAAGAAAGUGAGAAGGCGUAAUUGGAGAGCUGGAGAGAACACAAGGAGGUGGGAUGGUCUCCUCAACACCAUUCCUCCGCGAUGAGGAAAGCAAAAGAGAAAUAAGAGGAAAGAGGCUGUCCUCCAUCACCUCUGGAGCUGCCUGGCAGCCCUGUCAUCCCUUGUCUCAGGUCACACACUCUGUCCUCCACGUCCUCCCUGGUGGUCAUCUGGAACCAAGCCAGGGGAGUCCAGUUCUUCUUAAAAUUCUGAACGGAAUCUUGAACAGUACCAGGAGGAAAGGAAGCUCGGGGCUCAAUGAGCAGAGAGGAAAAAAUGAAAAGUGAGAAAUGGUGAGGACAUACAAAGCAAGGGAGCGUGAAGACCAAUGGAUAUGGGAAAAUUCAAAUUACAGCUACAAAACUGUGCUCUUGGCUUGGAAGAGUAGUCAGCACAGGCUGCAGGGACCCUGAUGGAGGCAAGAAAAAGGAGACCAGGCUUAGACCGCUGCAGCUGACCUAAAGCGGCCUCAAAGAGACAUCUCCUGGGUGCUCCCAACCGGCAACCGACUGACGUAGAGAUCAGCUUGGGGGAGGUCCGGGCCAAGGGGCCGGCGCUGACCGUGAACUGAAUGAAUAUUCGGCGGGCAGGUUGGGGAUCGGAGACCGCGGAAGACCCAGGACCUUCCUCUGCUACACCCAAAGCCAUUGCGAACGGGGCGAGACCCUGUGACCCCGGAAGGCAAGAGGCUUUGGAGCGAGAUCUGCGCCCCAGACCAGGAGAGCCUGGCUGAGUAGAGUCUCAGGGACACCUCUUUGGAGGUGUGCGCGGCCCGCGUUUCACCAGGUAGUGAAAUUCAACAAUGGCCGGAUUGUGAUGCAGGUCGGGACUGCCGGAUACAGGAUCCUAUUUGCUCAUUAGUUCUUUCCUUUGAUCUUUCGUUCACUUGCUCAUUUCUUGAGCUUCUACCACGUGCUGGGUGCACUCGUCACCCCGAUUCUGAGAAACGAAAAUAAACAGCCCCGACAAAUUAAAACGAGGCUAAAAUUUGCAGACUGGGAAAUCUCUGGUCGAGGACAGUGGAGAUUGACGGUGGCUAGGGAACUCCGCGAAACAGGCACUUUUUCUCCGCAGAGAGAGGCGGUGAGGUGCAGACGCACUAAGACCAACUUGCCUAGCAUUCUCACCCACUCUGCGGUGCUCUUCCGUGUUCCAAGAGAGGCUCGGGCAGAUCUUAGCGCUCCGCACCGCCGCCUAAGUGAGGGACUGGAGAUAUCACAGAAAGCUUUGGACUUCCGUUCUGGUUCUUGACGUUGACCACUAGGGAAGUCACCUUGAGUGAGUCAUUCAACCUCUCUACGAGUUGGUUUCCACCUACAACGAUGCCCAAAUGGUACGCAGACCAGAGUUUAGGCCGCCUGUAUCGAGUCCUGCUUGUGAACGCGUUCUCUUGCCCCUCUGUGAUGACCUUAGCAUCGGGGAUCCCAAUGGGUCCUCAACCAGAUGAUUCGCAACUCUAGGUCCACUCCCGGGGUUACCACCUGGUACUUCUGGGUCGUGUUGCACAGCCUCCUACUGUGUUUAUAAUGUUACCUACCCUUAUUGAUGCUAUAAAUAACCACAAGGGCCACAAUAACUAUACUUGUCGUUUAUUUAGUAAACACUUUUGGGGGUGCAUUUCCUGUGCCAAGCACUGAGCGAGGUGCUGGAGCUUCUCCAACCAUGCAGCAGAGUCCAGCCCUGCUCUCAAGAAGCCGAGGGUGCCUUCUUCCUCGAAGGAAUCGUUAAUCUCCUGUUUCCAUUUUGAGGGCCCUCCCUCAUUGUGAUUAGUUAAAAACUUAAUAAAACUCCCCAAGUGCUAUUUGUCCCAACAUAAUCUCAACAGCUGGAACAUAAUUUUCCCUUCUGGGCCCCUGGACACUUGCUUAAGCUUCAGAAAACUAAGUAUCAGAAAACUAACUUCUUCCUUUCUAACUCACAUGAGUAAGUCCCCACCACACCCACAAGCAUUGUACGGCGUGCCUGCUGUGAAAUUUGCAGACUGAAGUGCUCCUGUGCAUAGUGCCAGGAAGAUCAAGAUGAAGAAGGCCUUCCAAAUGCAGCAACCCCUGACCUAGCCAGGCAGCACAUCCUAACUCUCUGGGCUACUCCUUAAAGGAUUUCCUGGUGACAAGGCAUUCUCGUUCUCAUCUAAUGAUAUAAUUUCUUGGAGAGUAAAGGUUGUCUUGCAUUCUUUUUUUCUCUACUGUGCAAACACUCACAAGGAUCCCAAUAAAUAC